rnacentral:rRNA from 1 species
UACGAAGGGGGCUAGCGUUGCUCGGAAUCACUGGGCGUAAAGCGCACGUAGGCGGAUUGCUAAGUCAGGGGUGAAAUCCUGGAGCUCAACUCCAGAACUGCCUUUGAUACUGGCGACCUUGAGUCCGGGAGAGGUGAGUGGAACUGCGAGUGUAGAGGUGAAAUUCGUAGAUAUUCGCAAGAACACCAGUGGCGAAGGCGGCUCACUGGCCCGGUACUGACGCUGAGGUGCGAAAGCG